UCAAGCUAAAAAGGGCGCAAGGUGAAUGCCUUGGCACUGGGAGCCGAUGAAAGACGUGGUAAGCUGCGAAAAGCUUCGGGGAGGAGCAAACAUCCAUUGAUCCGGAGAUAUCUGAAUGGGGCAACCCAAUGGAGUUCAUACUCCAUUAUCCAAUACUGAAUCCAUAGGUAUUGGAAGGGAACCGCCUGAACUGAAACAUCUAAGUAGGGCGAGGAAGAGACAUCAAACGAGAUUCCGUAAGUAGUGGCGAGCGAACGCGGAAGAGGGCAAACCGAGAGGAGAAAUCCUUUCGGGGUACGGACUGCUUUUAAGACUGGAAGAGUUAACAGAAUGGCAUGGGAAGGCCAACCGAAGAGUGUGAGAGUCACGUAAGUAAAAAUUCUGACAGCUGCGCAGGAUCCAGAGUACGGCCAGACACGUGAAACCUGGUCGGAACAUGGGGGGACCACCCUCCAACCCUAAAUACUACCCAGUGACCGAUAGCGUAUAGUACUGUGAAGGAAAGGUGAAAAGGACCCCGGGAGGGGAGUGAAAGAGAACCUGAAACCUUGUGCCUACAAGCACAUAGAGCCCGUCAAAGGGUGAUAUGGUACUUUUUGUAGAACGGUCCGGCGAGCGAUUGUACGUUGCGAGCUUAAGGUCUUAAGGACUGGAGGCGUAGCGAGAGCGAGUCUAAACAGGGCGUUUAGUAGCGUGCAAUGGGCCCGAAACCGGGUGACCUACCCAUGAUCAGGCUGAAGUGAAAGUAAAAUUUCAUGGAGGGCCGAACCGACCUCCGUUGAAAAGGCGGCGGAUGAAUUGUGGGUAGCGGAGAAAUUCCAAUCGAACUCGGAGAUAGCUGGUUCUCCCCGAAAUAGCUUUAGGGCUAGCCUCAUGUUAGAUAUCCGGAGGUAAAGCACUGAAUGGCCUAGCGUCCGAGAGGAUAGCGAAGCCUAUCAAACUAAGAAUGCCGGAAUAUUGAUGCAUGGGAGUCAGACAGUGUGAGAUAAAUCUCAUUGUCAAAAGGGAAACAGCCCAGAUCUACAGCUAAGGUCCCAAAUUGUAUCUAAGUGGAAAACGAUGUGGAAAUACGCAGACAACCAGGAUGUUGGCUCAGAAGCAGCCACUCAUUUAAAGAGUGCGUAAUAGCUCACUGGUCGAGCGUCUCUGCGCGGAAAAUUUAACGGGGCUAAGAUACAAACCGAAGCUUAGGCUGCACUUUUAGUGCGGGGUAGGGGAGCGUUGUGUAAGCGGAGAAACGAUAGCGUAAGCGGUCGUGGAGUUUACAGAAGUGAGAAUGCCGGAAUGAGUAGCGCGAAUGAUGUGAGAAUCAUCAUGGCCGGAAACCUCAGGUUUUUGGAGGAAGGUUCGUCCGCUCCAAGUUAGGCGGGAGCUAAGGUGAGGCCGAAAGGCGUAGCCGAUGCACAGACGGUAGAGAUUCCGUCCCCACCGAAAGAUUUAAGCGCAGGGACACUUUUAGAAGGUCGGAGCCAGGUGUUGGUUCUGGUAGAGAUCGAGGGAAAUUUAGUACCGAAGUCCGGCUGGAUAAGAGGCGAGAAAAGCUGCGUGUAUAUCUAAGGUGCCCGUACCGCAAACCGACACAGGUAGGUAGGAAGAAGAUUCUAAGGCCAACGGGAGAAGGGUUGUUAAGGAACUCGGCAAAUUGACCCCGUAACUUCGGGAGAAGGGGUGCUCCAGAGAUGGAGCCGCAGAGAAUCGGCCCAAGCAACUGUUUACCAAAAACACAGGUUUGUGCUAAAUCGAAAGAUGACGUAUACGAGCUGACGCCUGCCCGGUGCUGGAAGGUUAAGAGGAGAUGUGCAAGCAUUGAAUCGAAGCCCCAGUGAACGGCGGCCGUAACUAUAACGGUCCUAAGGUAGCGAAAUUCCUUGUCAGGUAAG
rnacentral:rRNA from 1 species